UCAUGUUGAAGCCAAAACGACACUUAUCCAAAGCUAAAAACGCGAAUGAAUCACCAACGGAAACGCUUUAGCUGAAACAAUUUAGAGCAACAAGAAAAUUGCAUUCUGAGAUCAAAGUCAUCAUCACUGCGUCUUCAUCAAUUCCGACAUCGCGUUUUGAAUUCAUCAUCACGCGUCUUCACCACGGUUAAUCGCUCGCAUCAGAAUCAUCAAGAUCACGGACGCCGUCAUCGCGUCUAAUGGAAUUGGAGCAUCGUUUUUGAUCCAGCGUCGUCGUCGUGUUUUGUUCAUCAAUGGCGUUCAAGGAUAAGCCACGCAUUCUUCACAAUUCUGGAAUCGUGACUCAUCACAGUUCACCUUCGCGUUCUGAAUCAACAUCAAUGUGUUCAUAAAUCGAUGACUCAUUUCGAACGACUCAAGCCUCACGGAUUCAACGACAACAACCGAUUUCGAUGCGGCGGAAAACACAAAUGAGCAUUUUUUAGAUGGCUUCAAUUGCUACGCAUUUUAACAUGCAUGAGCUGCUUGGCACAUAUUCAUGCUCUUUGGUUUGUGGAGACUUUAAAGAACUCUGGAUUCAUGCUCUUUGGUUUGUGGAGACUUUGCUUGAAGGACUUUGGAUUCAUGCUGUUUGGUUGCAAAUUUAUGAUGUAAAUUAUAGAAUGGUGUCGCGGUGAAGAAUCGGAGACCAAGCUAUUGAUUAGACUUGACUCAUGAAUCAAAAUAUCACCACCGAACUUUAAUUUAUCCAAGGAAAGGGGGUGUGUUAUGAAAAAGGAAGGUAUUAGCACCCUAAUCAUCUGUAGUACUCUAUAGGAACCUUUUAGAUAUAUGUUUUUGGUUUAAAAUUGUUUGCUAUUUGAUUGGGGAGAUGAGAAAAGGAACAUCUUUUUAUUGUUUAAUGAUUUGGAAAAACAUUGAGUCUUAUGCCUACCUACCCGUGAAGGAUCAAAAUCUCGUAGUUCGGGUUCAAAAGUAAGAAGGGAUUUGUUGGGGUUGAUUUUAUGAGAAAGAGACAAAUUGUCAUCUUAAGGAGAAAACUCACUUUUAAAUCACCACAAACAUGUGGAAGAUAGAUCUUUGCAUCAAAUUGAAAGAAGAACUCUCACUUGGAUAUAAAGUACGGGGGUGUGUUAUGAAAAAGGAAGGUAUUAGCACCCUAAUCAUCUGUAGUACUCUAUAGGAACCUUUUAGAUAUAUGUUUUUGGUUUAAAAUUGUUUGCUAUUUGAUUGGGGAGAUGAGAAAAGGAACAUCUUUUUAUUGUUUAAUGAUUUGGAAAAACAUUGAGUCUUAUGCCUACCUACCCGUGAAGGAUCAAAAUCUCGUAGUUCGGGUUCAAAAGUAAGAAGAGAUUUGUUGGGGUUGAUUUUAUGAGAAAGAGACAAAUUGUCAUCUUAAGGAGAAAGCUCACUUUUAAAUCACCACAAACAUGUGGAAGAUAGAUCUUUGCAUCAAAUUGAAAGAAGAACUCUCACUUGGAUAUAAAGUACGGGGGUGUGUUAUGAAAAAGGAAGGUAUUAGCACCCUAAUCAUCUGUAGUACUCUAUAGGAACCUUUUAGAUAUAUGUUUUUGGUUUAAAAUUGUUUGCUAUUUGAUUGGGGAGAUGAGAAAAGGAACAUCUUUUUAUUGUUUAAUGAUUUGGAAAAACAUUGAGUCUUAUGCCUACCUAUCCGUGAAGGAUCAAAAUCUCGUAGUUCGGGUUCAAAAGUAAGAAGGGAUUUGUUGGGGUUGAUUUUAUGAGAAAGAGACAAAUUGUCAUCUUAAGGAGAAAGCUCACUUUUAAAUCACCACAAACAUGUGGAAGAUAGAUCUUUGCAUCAAAUUGAAAGAAGAACUCUCACUUGGAUAUAAAGUACGGGGGUGUGUUAUGAAAAAGGAAGGUAUUAGUACCCUAAUCAUCUGUAGUACUCUAUAGGAACCUUUUAGAUAUAUGUUUUUGGUUUAAAAUUGUUUGCUAUUUGAUUGGGGAGAUGAGAAAAGGAACAUCUUUUUAUUGUUUAAUGAUUUGGAAAAACAUUGAGUCUUAUGCCUACCUACCCGUGAAGGAUCAAAAUCUCGUAGUUCGGGUUCAAAAGUAAGAAGGGGUUUGUUGGGGUUGAUUUUAUGAGAAAGAGACAAAUUGUCAUCUUAAGGAGAAAGCUCACUUUUAAAUCACCACAAACAUGUGGAAGAUAGAUCUUUGCAUCAAAUUGAAAGAAGAACUCUCACUUGGAUAUAAAGUACGGGGGUGUGUUAUGAAAAAGGAAGGUAUUAGCACCCUAAUCAUCUGUAGUACUCUAUAGGAACCUUUUAGAUAUAUGUUUUUGGUUUAAAAUUGUUUGCUAUUUGAUUGGGGAGAUGAGAAAAGGAACAUCUUUUUAUUGUUUAA